CGACGCUGGCGGCAGGCUUACACAUGCAAGUCGAACGCCCCGCAAGGGGAGUGGCAGACGGGUGAGUAACGCGUGGGAACAUACCCUUUCCUGCGGAAUAGCUCCGGGAAACUGGAAUUAAUACCGCAUACGCCCUACGGGGGAAAGAUUUAUCGGGGAAGGAUUGGCCCGCGUUGGAUUAGCUAGUUGGUGGGGUAAAGGCCUACCAAGGCGACGAUCCAUAGCUGGUCUGAGAGGAUGAUCAGCCACAUUGGGACUGAGACACGGCCCAAACUCCUACGGGAGGCAGCAGUGGGGAAUAUUGGACAAUGGGCGCAAGCCUGAUCCAGCCAUGCCGCGUGAGUGAUGAAGGCCUUAGGGUUGUAAAGCUCUUUCACCGAUGAAGAUAAUGACGGUAGUCGGAGAAGAUGCCCCGGCUAACUUCGUGCCAGCAGCCGCGGUAAUACGAAGGGGGCUAGCGUUGUUCGGAAUUAUGGGGCGUAAAGCGCACGUAGGCGGAUAUUUAAGUCAGGGUGAAAUCCCCGCAGCUCAACUGCGGAACUGCCUUUGAUACUGGGUAUCUUGAGUAUGGAAGAGGUAAGUGGAAUUCCGAGUGUACAGGUAAAUUCGUAGAUUUCGGAGGACCCCGUGGCGAAGGCGCUUAUUGAUCCUUAUUACGCUCAGGGCAAAAGCU
rnacentral:rRNA from 1 species